GUGGUUGUAGCUCAGUGGUAGGGUGCUCACCUUGCAUGUGUGAGGCACUAUGUUUGAUCCUUAGCACUACA
rnacentral:tRNA from 1 species